AAGUCGUAACAAGGUUUCUAUAGGUAAACCUAUAGAAGGAUUAUUAUUAAAAGUUAAGUUAGGGGCUAUAAAGCUCUUAUCUACACUCUAUGUCUUUUGCGUACUCUUAUUUCCUUAGUAGCGCAAGCUGCUAAUUGGAUAAACUAAAACCUUUUUUAUAAUUGUAAUUAGCGUCUGAAAAUAAUCUAAUUAUUUACAACUUUUAAUAAUAGAUCUCUUAGUUCUGGUA
rnacentral:misc_RNA from 1 species